AUUCCCUUCAGCGGCACAUACACUAAAAUUGGAACACACAGAAGAUUAGCAUGGCCCUUGCACAAGGAUGACACACAAAUUCGUAAAGUGUUCCAUUUUUUU